rnacentral:rRNA from 1 species
GCCCUAGUAACGGCGAGUGAAGCGGCAACAGCUCAAAUUUGAAAUCUGGCCUUCUUUGGGGGUCCGAGUUGUAAUUUGCAGAGGGCGCUUUGGCGUCGGCAGCGGUCUAAGUUCCUUGGAACAGGACGUCACAGAGGGUGAGAAUCCCGUACGUGGUCGCCUGCCUUCGCCGUGUAAAGCCCCUUCGACGAGUCGAGUUGUUUGGGAAUGCAGCUCUAAAUGGGAGGUAAAUUUCUUCUAAAGCUAAAUACUGGCCAGAGACCGAUAGCGCACAAGUAGAGUGAUCGAAAGAUGAAAAGCACUUUGGAAAGAGAGUCAAACAGCACGUGAAAUUGUUGAAAGGGAAGCGCUUGCCGCCAGACUUGCCCGUGAAGGUUCUCCUCCUCGGGCAGGCCAGCAUCAGUUUGAGCGAUCGGAUAAUGGCCUCUGUCAUGUAUCUUCCUUCGGGAUGACCUUAUAGGGGAGUCGUAGUACGGUCAGCUCGGACUGAGGUCCGCGCAUUUGCUAGGAUGCUGGCGUAAUGGCUGCAAGCGGCCCGUCUUGAAACACGGACCAAGGAGUCUAACAUCUAUGCGAGUGUUUGGGUGUCAAGCCCGAGCGCGCAAUGAAAGUGAACGGAGGUGGGAACCCUCUCUGGGGGUGCACCAUCGACCGAUCCUGAAGUCUUCGGAUGGAUUUGAGUAAGAGCAUGGCUGUUGGGACCCGAAAGAUGGUGAACUAUGCUUGAAUAGGGUGAAGCCAGAGGAAACUCUGGUGGAGGCUCGCAGCGGUUCUGACGUGC